rnacentral:rRNA from 1 species
GGCGAACGCUGGCGGCGUGCCUAAUACAUGCAAGUAGAACGCUGAGGACUGGUGCUUGCACUGGUCUAAGGAGUUGCGAACGGGUGAGUAACGCGUAGGUAACCUACCUCAUAGCGGGGGAUAACUAUUGGAAACGAUAGCUAAUACCGCAUGACAAUAGGGUACACAUGUACCCUAUUUAAAAGGGGCAAAUGCUUCACUAUGAGAUGGACCUGCGUUGUAUUAGCUAGUUGGUAAGGUAACGGCUUACCAAGGCGACGAUCAGUAGCCGGUCUGAGAGGAUGAACGGCCACACUGGAACUGAGACACGGUCCAG